GACGAACGCUGGCGGCGUGCCUAAUACAUGCAAGUAGAACGCUGAAGAGAGGAGCUUGCUCUUCUUGGAUGAGUUGCGAACGGGUGAGUAACGCGUAGGUAACCUGCCUUGUAGCGGGGGAUAACCAUUGGAAACGAUAGCUAGUACCGCAUAACAAUGGAUGACACAUGUCAUUUAUUUGAAAGGGGCAAUUGCUCCACUACAAGAUGGACCUGCGUUGUAUUAGCUAGUAGGUGAGGUAACGGCUCACCUAGACGACGAUACAUAGCCGACCUGAGAGGGUGAUCGGCCACACUGGGACUGAGACACGGCCCAGACUCCUACGGGAGGCAGCAGUAGGGAAUCUUCGGCAAUGGGGGCAACCCUGACCGAGCAACGCCGCGUGAGUGAAGAAGGUUUUCGGAUCGUAAAGCUCUGUUGUAAGUCAAGAACGAGUGUGAGAGUGGAAAGUUCACACUGUGACGGUAGCUUACCAGAAAGGGACGGCUAACUACGUGCCAGUAGCCGCGGUAAUAC
rnacentral:rRNA from 1 species